rnacentral:rRNA from 1 species
CGGUAGGGGAACUGCCGGAAGGAUCAUUG